UACGGAGGGGGUUAGCGUUGUUCGGAAUUACUGGGCGUAAAGCGCACGUAGGCGGAUUGGAAAGUUGGGGGUGAAAUCCCAGGGCUCAACCCUGGAACUGCCUCCAAAACUCCCAGUCUGGAGUUCGAGAGAGGUGAGUGGAAUUCCGAGUGUAGAGGUGAAAUUCGUAGAUAUUCGGAGGAACACCAGUGGCGAAGGCGGCUCACUGGCUCGAUACUGACGCUGAGGUG
rnacentral:rRNA from 1 species